rnacentral:rRNA from 1 species
GACGAACGCUGGCGGCGUGCUUAACACAUGCAAGUCGAACGAAGUGGCGAACGGGUGUGUAAUACGUGGGUAACUGCCCUCCUUUUUGUGAUACGCCUUGGAAAUGGGGUCUAAUACCGAAUAAAGGGGGAUGGGUGGCGGCCUAUCAGUUGGUUGGUGGGGUAGUGGCCUACCAAGGCGACGACGGGUAGCCGGCCUGAGAGGGCGACCGGGAAAAUGGGACUGGGGUACGGGCCAAACUACUGCGGGAGGCAGCGGUGGGGGCUAUAGCACGAUCGGGCAAAGCCGGGUGCAGGAACGCCGCGUGGGGGAUGAUGGCCUUCGGGUUGUAAGCGGCUUACUGCGAUAACGCGGUAGUGGCAGAAGAAGCACCGGCUAACUACGUGCCAGCAGCCGCGGUAAUUC